UUGUGUGCAAUAUGUGAUUGGCUUUCUAUAAAAAAUGAACUUUGCUAAUGUACCUGUGUUGUAACGUCAUAAGUUCGCAAAAUUUCAAGGGUAUCAAAUUUUUAUGGAUAUGUGCUAUAGUUAAUUCUGGAAAACAAAAUUGAGGAAAAAAUAAGAAUGUGACCAAGCAAAUGGGAAGGGCAUGGGAGACAAUAAACCGGAACAAAAUCGAUUGGAGAACUCAUUGACACUGGCAAUGCCAGAGAGAGGGUUGCCAACGUUAAAAUAAUAAAAUAAUUCUGUUGUGAGGUGCGGAGUUAGAAGGAUUUUUAAUUUGACAUCAACGGCUUCUAUUAGCGGCCCAGCUGCCAAAAGCAAUAAUAUAUGGAAAAAUUUCGAUUAGACAAAGGAGUUCGUACAUAAUAUUUUAAUGGAGAUGAGAGAUGUGGGUCGAUCAUAUAUUUCCAUAGGCGUAACUGCGGAUACGGUCAGGGAGUGUAAAAGAGCCAAGCCAGAUAGAAGAACCCGCAUAUUAGUUAUCGGAUUAUAAAUAAAUUUUAAUUAAGAAAAAACUUUUCUACAAGCUGGGCUGCGUCGACACGUUGCGCCCGAAAAAAUAGCUCCCAUAAUUCUCAAGGCACUUGCUCACAUUAUACACGAGUGUAGUAUACCAUUUUAUACAUAAUCUAUGUAACAAUUGAAAGAAUUGUGCGAGGAUAUCGAAACGGAAGCAAAGCCCUACAGAUUCUACUCCAAAAAUCCCGCUAACGCUAUGAGAAAGAGUUGGAUAAUUUUUACAAAAAAAAAAAAACAUCCUUAUGAGGUAGCAUUUAUUUGCAUUUUUAUAUUUUUUAAGCGAUAAUUAUGAAACAUAAUAAAAUUGUUAAAAUAUUACAAAGCACAAAGGAAAACUACCUCCAUGUUCAGUUUUGGUUAGCUCUUUAUUAAGACCUUCGGAUUUUUGUCUGACAUUAAAUGGACCGUUGAUAGUUUUGGUUAGUUUACGACAGAUUGAAUUUCAAUUCAACUCGUCCCUGGUUGUUCCUUUUUGUCGACAUUGACAUUGGCACAGGUUGCAGACUACGUACGUCUUGUUCAUUUGUUAUAAAAAAAACCAAGUGUCCAUGUAAAUAUACAGAAUUUUCCAUAGUUCCCCUGAAAGUCGGUAAAUAAUAGAACGUCUGCGCCCCUGUUUAUAAUGAUCAAUUAUCAUUUCCAUUUAUUUCGUAAUUUGCCGGCCCAUAUGUAGUCAAACCGUUCAUUUGUGAUAAACGUGCGAUAUUUUACGGUAGUAAUUUCCGCUUUUUAAGAAAUAACAAGGUACUUGAGAAAUUCUUGCCGGCAAGUUACAAUGCCUGCUUUAUUUCGUUCGUAAUAAGUUUUACGGUAAAUAAUAUCGAACAUCAGACUACUGUGGAACAUUAUGAGGGUACGAGAUUAUAGGUGAACUCUUUUAUGGGGUGCUUUAUGUUAUAUUGCCCACAGUUUUUGCGGCAGUAAAACUCGCAUUUGACAAGGUACCUGUCUCGCGCACGCGAAAUUGCUGAUUUUAUAACGAUAAAAACAAAUGUUAUUAAUGCGCUUCGGUGUCUUCAAAGUGUUAGUAUAAUUUAUUUAGAUAAUAGGGGCGAUUGGAACGGCUGCCCGCACCGACUACCAUCUUUGUUUGCUCAGUAAAGUAUCUCAA